AGAGUUUGAUCCUGGCUCAGGAUGAACGCUAGCUACAGGCUUAACACAUGCAAGUCGAGGGGAAACGACAUCGAAAGCUUGCUUUUGAUGGGCGUCGACCGGCGCACGGGUGAGUAACGCGUAUCCAACCUGCCCACCACUUGGGGAUAACCUUGCGAAAGUAAGACUAAUACCCAAUGAUAUCUCUAGAAGACAUCUGAAAGAGAUUAAAGAUUUAUCGGUGAUGGAUGGGGAUGCGUCUGAUUAGCUUGUUGGCGGGGUAACGGCCCACCAAGGCGACGAUCAGUAGGGGUUCUGAGAGGAAGGUCCCCCACAUUGGAACUGAGACACGGUCCAAACUCCUACGGGAGGCAGCAGUGAGGAAUAUUGGUCAAUGGACGAGAGUCUGAACCAGCCAAGUAGCGUGCAGGAUGACGGCCCUAUGGGUUGUAAACUGCUUUUAUAAGGGAAUAAAGUGAGUCUCGUGAGACUUUUUGCAUGUACCUUAUGAAUAAGGACCGGCUAAUUCCGUGCCAGCAGCCGCGGUAAUACGGAAGGUCCGGGCGUUAUCCGGAUUUAUUGGGUUUAAAGGGAGCGUAGGCCGGAGAUUAAGCGUGUUGUGAAAUGUAGACGCUCAACGUCUGCACUGCAGCGCGAACUGGUUUCCUUGAGUACGCACAAAGUGGGCGGAAUUCGUGGUGUAGCGGUGAAAUGCUUAGAUAUCACGAAGAACUCCGAUUGCGAAGGCAGCUCACUGGAGCGCAACUGACGCUGAAGCUCGAAAGUGCGGGUAUCGAACAGGAUUAGAUACCCUGGUAGUCCGCACGGUAAACGAUGGAUGCCCGCUGUUGGUCUGAAUAGGUCAGCGGCCAAGCGAAAGCAUUAAGCAUCCCACCUGGGGAGUACGCCGGCAACGGUGAAACUCAAAGGAAUUGACG
rnacentral:rRNA from 1 species